rnacentral:rRNA from 1 species
GACGUAGGGCGCGAGCGUUGUCCGGAUUUAUUGGGCGUAAAGAGCUCGUAGGCGGCUUGUCGCGUCGACCGUGAAAACUUGGGGCUCAACCCCAAGCCUGCGGUCGAUACGGGCAGGCUCGAGUUCGGUAGGGGAGACUGGAAUUCCUGGUGUAGCGGUGAAAUGCGCAGAUAUCAGGAGGAACACCGGUGGCGAAGGCGGCAUCCUGGACCGGUAUUGACGCUGAGGCGCGAAAGCCAGGGGAGCAAACGGG